rnacentral:rRNA from 1 species
UUGUUGGUCUUUAGGACAAGAGUAAUGAUUGAUAGGGACAGUUGGGGGUGCUAGUAUUGAAUGGCCAGAGGUGAAAUUCUUGGAUUCAUUCAAGACUAACUAAUGCGAAAGCAUUCACCAAGGAUGUCUUCUUUAAUCAAGAACGAAAGUUGGGGGAUCGAAGACGAUCAGAUACCGUCGUAGUCUCAACCAUAAACUAUACCGACUAGGGAUGAGUGGACGUUGUUUUUUACUGACUCCAUUCGCACCUUAUGAGAAAUCAAAGUCUUUGGGUUCCGGGGGGAGUAUGGUCGCAAGGCUGAAACUUAAAGGAAUUGACGGAAGGGCACCACCAGGAGUGGAGCCUGCGGCUUAAUUUGACUCAACACGGGAAAACUUACCAGGUCCGGACAUAGCAAGGAUUGACAGAUUGAAGAUCUUUCUUGAUUCUGUGGGUGGUGGUGCAAGGGCGAAUUCCACAGUGGAUAUCAAGC